UCCCUCGUUCUUGCCGCGACGAACCCGAAAUCCCUUCGGAUUCCAUCUAUCCUUGAUCGAAGAACAAGCAGGCGUUGACCCCACAGAGGUAUCCAAAGAUGUUGGCAAGCAGGUCAACCAAGACCGUCAUUUGUCAUUCUAAAGUGCCCCGGGAAUCUUGUUCACUUUGUGAGCACAAGGGCAACCAUGUAAUGAGGAAAAAGAUGAGAGAGGGGAGGACAAA